rnacentral:rRNA from 1 species
UGGGGAAUUUUGGACAAUGGGCGAAAGCCUGAUCCAGCAAUGCCGCGUGUGUGAAGAAGGCCUUCGGGUUGUAAAGCACUUUUGUCCGGAAAGAAAUGGCUCUGGUUAAUACCUGGGGUCGAUGACGGUACCGGAAGAAUAAGGACCGGCUAACUACGUGCCAGCAGCCACGGUAAUACGUAGGGUCCAAGCGUUAAUCGGAAUUACUGGGCGUAAAGCGUGCGCAGGCGGUUGUGCAAGACCGAUGUGAAAUCCCCGAGCUUAACUUGGGAAUUGCAUUGGUGACUGCACGGCUAGAGUGUGUCAGAGGGGGGUAGAAUUCCACGUGUAGCAGUGAAAUGCGUAGAGAUGUGGAGGAAUACCGAUGGCGAAGGCAGCCCCCUGGGAUAACACUGACGCUCAUGCACGAAAGCGUGGGGAGCAAACAGG